UGUCUAAUUAAAGCAGAGCAUCGCGUAGCCAGCUGAGCCACACAGGCAUGAUGUCAUUUCUGCCCAGUGCUCUGAAUGUCAAAGUGAAGAAAUUCAAUCAAAUAUGGAUAAACAGUGGGAGUCACUAUGCUCAUCAGGGUGCUACCUUGUUGUGGUAAGAGAGCUUACAUCUGUGGUU
rnacentral:ncRNA from 1 species